rnacentral:misc_RNA from 1 species
AACACAUGGACGACGACUAGAUUGAGAUCGGGAAGAAAACAUACGUUUUUGGUGAUGUCAUCACAUAAAUCAGUGAUGCAUGACCACGACGGGUAUUCUCAUGAUCCAUUGUGGACAAUAUGAGUGCAAGAACUCGGAUAAGGCAUUGGACAAGUCGUAAAAUAGACGAUAAUUUACUCAGACAAGUUGCACCCUCACCGAAGCCAUCGACAUCUGACGAGACAGCAGCGCACGUUGGAUGUGGCACCUCUUUAGAUCAAGAUGUUGGGAUAGAUUGUGAUUGUAGCACAGCUAAAGUCACAACGUCUACAAAUGAAAACAAAGACAUAUUGUACAAUUCCUCUGAUGUCAAAAUAGAAGUAGACUCUAACGAGCUGGCAGAUCAGCAGGGAUUGUGUAACGACCUGAGUGUAAACAAGUGUAAAUUUUGUGAGCAAUUUUUCAAAUGCUAUAUUGAUUUGAUAAAGCAUUUAAAAGACUACCACGUUAAUGAACCUGCCAUGGAUUCCGACGCAAAGAAAUCUAGUACCUCUGCUGCUGACGGCAAGCUUGUCAGAUCUUACAAACACAAAACAGGAAUGUUUGAAUGUGAGUUCUGUGAGAGGGUUUACAAGUACGGUUAUGAUUUGAAUAGACAUGUGAAAGAUGCCCACUUAAAAAAACUGAAGCGUUGCAGAGAGAACAAGAAACUGAAUGAAAAGAUCAAAGCCUAUGUGAAAAAAUACCUUCCUUUCAAAUGCAAAACUUGUGGCUACGUCUAUGUUUCACAGAAGGGUUUGACGCAUCAUAUGAGACAGGUUCAUUCCAGCGAAGCAGCAGCUAAAGCAAAAUGUGUCAAAGAGAUCGGUGACCGCAGCAAGAAGCUGCUUUCUUUGAUAAGCAAUAUCAAAUCAAAGACUGGGUCGAAUUCUACUAAAGAAGCUUCGGAACCAAAUUCAUCGACCAAGUCUCCAGCAUUAAAAAGAAACAAAGUGAUGUCCCCGAAAGGCCCAUCCAAGGAAAAGGCAUCAAUAAAGAAAAAAACUGUUCAACCGAAAGUCCCCUCGAAUGGGACACUGUUACAUCCCAAAGUAGGCUUAUCUUCACCAUCUCGUGAGAAAUCUCCUCUCAAGAAAGCAAGCACAAAGUUUCCUGACAAAAGAAUGCACCCAAUUGAGGAAAUACAUGAAAAAAGUGAGAAGAAAUUGAGAUGUAAAUUAUGUCAGAAAAUCUAUGGUACACGCCCAGGACUCAUGUACCAUCUGAAGGUAACUCACCUUUACUGCAUCGUAUGUUACAAGCAGUUCUGUUAUCAGAAGAUCUACGACAAACACAUGGAGAUCAAGCACAAUCAGCGCCAUGUUGUCGUCGACGACAAUUAUUUUUCUGAUUUGUCAAAAGCAAGUGAGACUGCAAGUGGUUCAGCACCGGAAAGUACCAAGGUAAAGCCGGACUCUCCGGAUGUAAAACCUCAGAUUAUGAAAUCAAAAGACUGUACUGAGAAAAUGUCAGCUUCCAGCCAAAAUUCCGCCACCAAGCUAGCUGUAUCAUUCAUAUCAUGUCAGUCAAGCUCUUUGAGCACUAACAACACUGUAAAAAUUCCAGAGGGCACUGUUCUCAGUCCAGUCAAAAUCAAACUAAAUAGACUGCCUUCAGACCCUGCAGCUCUCCAAAAUUUUACACAGAAGCAUGCUGUAGUAUCAACUGAGGAACCUGAAAAGCAUGACUUGGAAUCAUUUACCAAAAACGGUUUGGACAAUAAAAAGUCCAAUUAUACGAACAGUGUGGUUUCCACAGGGUCGAAAGACAUAACUCUUACUACCCAACUUUGUCAAGACACACAAAAAACGGACAUUGUCUGUGAAAAACGAACGACUCGAUCCAAACUGGGGCCAAAAUCGAAACGAAAGUCGACGAGAAUAAGCUAUGGAUUUAAUGCCACAGAACCGAAAUCACAACCAGUAACAGUGUCGGAUAAACGGAAGGUUGUGAAGUUACCAAAUGAGACAGACAAUUGUGACAAAGAACUCUCUGUGAAGAAGGAGGACGCAUCAGUUAACGAUGUACAAAAUGUCAGAAAGACACGGAGUAGAUUACGGAAAGCAGACCAUUCCAAAGACACUACACCGGAAUCCGUGGAUGAUGGGCAACUCAAGCUCAUGGAGGUGGACAGUUUAAGCGGAGGAGAUCUAGAGCCAUCAAUAGAAUGUUCAAUACUUUCUUCUUGUACAGAAGAUGUUACUGACCAGUCAAAUAAGAAUUCAGACACGACUACAGUAAAGUCUUCUCUGAAAUCCCAGACUUCUACUGAGCGUAUAACAAGAAGUUCUUCACAGCCAGAUACAAAGGAAAAUACUCAUUCAGAUGGGAUCAUAACUAAGUGUCAUUCGCAGCCAGAGAGGAAAAAUUCCACUGAGCUUUCAGCUGGUUCUUCAUCGCCUGCAGCAAGAGGUAUUCCUUUUGUUGAACUGGUUGAAGCUACUGAUAUUGACCCUGUUACGCAGUCAACUAAGAGUUCUUCUCGACGACCUGCUAGGAAAGAUAGGUCUUCAUCUGAACCUUCAAAUUCUUCACGUUUAUCCAGGAAAUUGGCAAAGUCAUCAGAUUUAACUAGUUCAUCACAACUCGUUCACUCAUCCAGGAGUCCUUCUUCUCAACUAACUAGGAAAAAGACAACUUCAUCUGAAUUUACACCAUAUGCUCACUCAACCAAGAGUGCAUCUGUACCUACAACCAAGAAAUACAUGCCUUCAUCUGAACCUUUACAGUCAUCCAGGAAAUUAACAAAUUCAUCCAAACCUUUGACCUGUUCAUCACAGUCUGGCUUGAAGGAUAACACAUCCAACAUUCCUUCAAAUAUUAGUUCCAUUUCUACAAAAAAUUAUCAACUUCUUGCUGAUCCAACACUGACAUCACCUGAACUGGCAUCAGAGGAGAAUACAGGUUCAGAGGCAGAAGAUACUAGUCAUAGAAUAGAGCAAACAAUAUUUGCAGAAAAAAUGUCUUCCAGCAGAGAAACAACAAGAGAAAGGCAGGAAAUCGAAACACCUAUCAAACACACAACAUUACAUUCAAGAAGUAAGGCUGAUCGUAUGAGCCAUGACCAUGAUAUUCGAGAACUUAUGUUUGGGAAGUCCUGUAGUGCCCGUGACCUUCAUGUAGACGAUCAACGUUCACCUGAACAUCACGAUGACUUGAAAUGGAAAAUUGUGCAUGAAGAAAAAUCUUAUGAUUUGAACAAAUUAACUCUGAAAAUAACCAGAGAUGUGAAAACAGAUGUAAGGAGUGUGAGGACACAGGAAAGAUUCUUAUGUAAUUUAACAGGAUUGAAAUUGAAAAUUGUUCGUGAUUUCUCUCAGCAGAGAAGGACCGUUCUGUCAGAUGAUGAUCGGAAGUGUCAAGGAGAAUCCAGUACUGGCCUGUCAGACACACCACAAGCUAUACAUGUGAUUUCUUCAACGGAUGGACUGUCAUCUGACUUAGAGAAGGCUACAUCAGGCAUUCAGCAUGACACGCUUAGUGCCCUUGGUGACAAUUUUUCCUCUGUUACUAGUGACAGUGAUGACUUAACAUCUCCAAGAAAGAGUGACAUGAAAGAUAGAAAUCAUGUGACGUGUCCAGAAAAAUUGACACCCAGUGACUCUGAGGUUCGGAACUCUCCAAGACUAACUCGUUCUGGUAACAAAAGUGAUGGAAAAGCAACGCAACUAACAUGUUCUGAUGACACAGCUGUUUACAAAUCACCCAGGUCGACAGAUUCUGUUGAUCAGGAUGACAUACAUUCUCGGAAAAGAACAAUCAGUUUCGAUUUUGAAAGGAAUUUGGCAAGAAACUCUAAAGUAGACAGCAGAGAGACGAGUUCUGGUGAUGCGAGUUCUCAUAAGAGAAGACUCAGUGACAAUGAUGAUAUAAAACUUGUGAGAAACACUGGAGAUGUUUCUACAGGAAGUGACCUAGCAACAGUUACCAAUUUGGUGAGAUCCUCUGGCAAUAACAUUAAAAAAAAAACUCCUUGCGAGACGAUUGUAGGACCAGCAGGAGAUCGUGCCAAGACAUCUGCCAGCAAUCUGUCUAUGAGGGAGAGGACAAACCAAGGUCAUGUAGAGGAAGAAGUGGAUGUGGUAGGUGUACAGAUGAAAGCGUCAGAUUCUGAACACAAGGAAGAUUUGCAGAAAGCCAACCUUAAAGAAACACAUGGUAGUGAUGACGAUUCUCAGGACAUUUCCAUGCAUCAAGAUGCUAGACUCAAAGUGUUGGAGAAAUCGCCAGGGAAGAAAAUGGAGAUAGACAUUGAGCACCAUGACACUGACAAUAUUCUAACAUUGUGCUCGCAGUCUUUCGGCAGUCUUCUUAAGCAUGUCGAGGAACGGGGUGUAGCAAAGGUGCUAGUGGAAAAGUUACCGGAUACAGUGACUUUAAAGGAAGCAUUGCCAAACAGUUCGCUCAAGAAAAGAGGUAUGUCAAAACGGAACAAACCCGCUCCUGCAUGCGUGAAGAAGCAGCGUCUGGUUCACCGAGAGCCGUGGGAAAAAACACCAAGUGGAUCAUGCAAUGGGGUAAUGGAGGAAUCUGAAAAACAUCCUGAAAGUGAAGACAUUAUUGUUCCCAGUCAAACACCGUCUGACACCACUAUUGAUGAGAUAGACGGAGAAUGCAUCCCAUCACCCGAUGUGAAGGUAGGUUAUGAUGUGCUGUCAGACAAUAUGACAGAUACCCGUGAGAAACAGAGUGAUGGUAGUGGUGCCAAAGUUCUUACGGGAGACACGAUCGGCCAACAGCUUUUGAAGGAUUUCGAUGAAAGUGAUCUGGAUCUUCUUUUGAAGGAUGGUUCAUGUCACGACUUAUUCUCCGAUAAAAACGGAGAGGUGACUUUGUCAGAUGAUGGUUUGUAUGCAUCCGUGAACACACCACUGGGUGAUGCGAACAACAACCAUUUCAAAGGGAAAGUCAUAAAAGAAAUUAUGGAAAUUAUUCAGUUUGUGGAGAAAAUGGAGAACUGUGAAAUCGUGAAGUCCCCUAACAGAACGGGAGAGACUGGUUCCAUGCUCAUUGCAAAAGAAUCAAAAGAUGAGCAGGCCAAGAGUGUUUGUUCUUUUGGACAGUUGGACCAUGUUGAAAAGAUACCAAAAGUGACCAAUGCACAAGUAAUGACGGAAUCUUCACUCGCUGGUGGACACGUGCAACAAGGCAACAAUGGAACCGACACUGCAUUUAGAAAUAUAAACAUCACCAAAAAAAGUGUUUGUCAUGUUGGCAAGAACGAAAGGAGGAAUCCAAGUGAAGAAAACAUCACCAUUUCUGAAAAAGAAAAAAGUGUGACUCCUGCGGAAAGUGUUGCUUUGAAUAGAAGUUCUAGUGACGGUAGUAGUCUAGGAAAGAGAUCGUUGGAGAACAGACUCCUUAAGAAGGAUCUCUCAUUGAAAGCUGGGGGUAAAACAUGGCCACCAAAGUGUAGGGUGUGUGGUAACUCCUUUUCUUCAGAGAAGAAUUUAGGACGACACAAUGCUAGAUUUCAUCCGGAGGAUUUCAGAAAACAGCGAAGGUACUCAAUUGUUUGCAAAUUGUGCGGUAUGAUAUAUGCAAACAAACAAAACCUUAAGAAGCAUGUUGCCAGUAAACAUUCAGAGACCGAAGCAAGUUCAGACGACGCUUUCAAACUUAUAUGUAAGGAAAUAGAAAUUGAUCCGGAUCCAUCUUCAAGUCAAAAUUCCAAGGAGAAGCUGAAGGAGAGGUACGACAUGAAUAUCCAGUACCGAUGUUUAUUGUGUGACAUCACUUACAAGAAUAUGAGUAGUGUUAUUUGUCAUAUCGAGUCCAGUCAUAAAAGAAGGGAUAAACCAGUAAGGAACUGUUAUAGAGUGGAAAACUUGUGUGACGGUGACAGCGAGUCAAAAGCACAGGAAGCUGGUCAUAGUUCCGUAGGAAGCUCAGGAGAACACUUGUGUGGCGGUGACAGCGAGUCACAAGCACAGGAAGCUGGUCAUAGUUCCGUAGGAAGCUCAGGAGAACACUUGUGUGGCGGUGACGGCGAGUCACAAGCACAGGAAGCUGGUCAUAGUUCCAUAAAAAGCUCAGGAGAACGCUUGAAGCAUCAGUCUUGUAAUAGCGACCCAAAGAUGGAUGAGUCUGAGGCAGCCGUGCACAACCUGUUGGAAAGCUUUGGAGGGGACGCUUCAUUUGACACCCAUAAGUCUCCGAUACAGGAUUCAGAUGUCAUGAACUCUCUCAAUAAACAACAAGGAGGUGCUGGGCAGCACUGUCAAGGAGCCCAGCUAGAAAACAAUGCUUUUGAGGAGGAAGGACAGGAUCAUCAUGGAAGUCAAGCUGAAGAUUGUCAUGGAGAUCAGCAAGAUCACAAACACUCUGAGAAAAUAUUACAUGAACGUGUGGGAGAUAAAAAGCUACAGCAUCAGGGAGAGGAAGAGUCAAAAUGUGAUGGAGAGAAAGAACCGGAGAGUCGUGGGGAAGGAAAACCGGAACGACAAAGGAAUCAAAACGAGGAAGCUGCAUGUGAAGAAGGAGGGAAAGAUCUGGUGACAGAGCCAUUAUCUGAUCCGAAUUUAGAUGUUGAAUCGUCUUCGUCUGAAACUAUAUUGCCCGAGUCAACUGUUCAAUGUCCUCCUGUCCAGGAAGCAAGUGGUUGUACGAAAGAGGAGAUACACCUUGUGCAGAAUAGUGCUGACAUGCAGCAAGAUCAACAGCCUUCUCGCUAUGUGUGUAAAAGUGAUGACAAGAUUUGCAGAGAAGUUGCUGAUCAAACUGGAUUUCGUAUUCAUCGAAAUUGUACAGUCAAACUUGUCAGGUUUCCCCAACCUUCCUGUGAGAUGACAAUGGGAGAUUUCCUUCUGAAGUCUAAAGAUUCUGGGAAAGCUGUCGUUGGGAAAAUAAGCACUAUUAGUAGGAACUCAGCACCAAACAAUUUGAACCUUCCUGAAGAUGUGGAUACAAGACCUCUGGAAGACCGUAAGGAAGACGAAGUUGAAAGCAGGACACAAAUUCAUACAGUAAAAGAGACAGAAAACCCGGCCAAGUCAGCGUUAACUGAGGAUCAGCCUAGUAGAAAGUUUGUAUGUGAAUUGUGCGGAUUGACUUAUGUCGCCAAAAAGGGUUUAAAAAGACACAUCUCCAACAAACAUUCAGAGACCAUAACAAAAUCAGGAGAAACUUGUAAAGUGAGAUGUGAAGAGGAAAUUGAUUCCAACCUAGGUACAGGACAUUUCACACAAAUUCAAACCAUCGCGGAGACAACAAGCAGAAAAACAGGUAAAAACCCUGACAUCUCUUCUGUUGUACACGAAGGUCAAGCCGAAUCAAAGAAAUCAAUAUUGGGCAGUACAGAUGGCUCCAUGAGUGAAAACACAAGUGCAAAAGGAGAACUAGUCCUCGAAUCUGACAGUCAACCAGAUACUCCUAGAGACAAAUCAGACAGUCACUCAGAUGUCCUAAAAAACAAAUUUGGUGACCACCAAGAAGUCAUGAAAGAGAAGUCAAAGACCUUACCAGUGCUGGAAUCAACUCUAACCAAACAAUCAGUUCUCGAAGAAUCGGUAGAAUGUCAACCAAGUCAAAGAAAAAGACCAAAAGUUCCUAAAACUAAGAAAGAUAAGGAGAAAUCUAAAUCCAAGCUGAUCAAAGUAACACCAAGUGGUACUCCCACAAGUUCAGCAGCAUCAAGUGGUACAAGUUCAGCCAUCACAGCCUUUGAAAUGGCCAUUAGUACUCCAGCAUAUUCACAGCACAAGUUAAAGAAAAGGAAGUUAGACCGGCAGACAUCCUCUGAAGGACCUCCGUCCAAACAACCGAGUUCUGCCAAGUCCAAGGCCAGGUUGGAUGAGAAACCUCCUGGUGAUCCAGAGGAAACAGUUUCUACUGGUACAGACGAGAGAUAUCCUAGCCAUACAGUGGAGAUAUUUCCCAGCAAUAUGGAGAGAAUGCAUGAUAGCAAUGUCGGUGAUGGCCAUGCGAUGCUGUGGCAGAAAGAUGCUGAGUUCCAAAGUGGCCCUGAAACAACAUCACCAAGGAAAACUGAAAGCCCAAAGAAAUCCAACAAAAAAAGUAUUGAUAAGAUCGUGCAGGGUAUCAUUCAACGACAAAAGGAUAUUGAAAAUAAGAAAACUAAGGAAAAAUUGGACCCACCAGAAGUUGAUUUUCCCGUGCCAUUUGAGGAGAUUUUAGCUCAGAGCAAAAACAAAGCAGCAAAACUUGCUGAGUUGACGGAGUCUACAGCACCUUUUAAUGAUGACAAUUCAAAUUCAUCGGGGUCUGUAAAGAGUGGGAAGUUACUGACAAAACCUGUUGACAUAUUUUCUUCGUUACAAAUAGGUCCAACUGUUAAAUUCGGAAAAAGUUUCCGUAGGGCUUCGUCUAGAACGACUGCUUCGUCAGCAGGUGGAGAACCUCAGCAGAGUUUCAGAUCGCCCCUAGACAGAGUCGGAGUUGAGAUGCCAAUGAAGUUUGGCGCAUCACAGGAAAGCAAGAAGGUUGGUGAGGCCAGUUCUAAACCUAAACAACAGAGCAACAAAAACUAUUUAAUAGAUAUAUUGAAGGAUAUACCCUCUAUAUACGACUACAGUAAUGAUGUAGGACCGUACGUUUCUCCAUGGGACAACCCGUCGGUGAGUAAAGCUGGGAAGUCGGUCAUUGGUGGAAACAAACCUCCAAUGGGUUCCAAAAAUGUUCACUUUGGAUCGGAGAUGAACGACACAGCAGCAGUCAUGUCAAAUGAUGACCAUGUCAUGGAAAUCUCAAAUGAUACCACAGUGGAGAUUUUCAAUGAAGAUAGUGAUAUGGACAUUUCAGAGGAUGGAAAGACGGACACAAAGCAGGAUUUGUUGCAAAAGUCAUCAGAGUUUAUGCCCGAGGAGACCGAGGAGGAACAGAAAGACUGCAUUUCUGCCACACCUUAUGACAAUGAUGAGGAAACACAAAAAAAAUCAGUGCUUCCUGAUGAAGAGAAUUAUCACAAUUUAACUAUAGCAAAUGACGAGGAGGAUUCUGACAAUGACCACAGAAAUAAAGACAGAUCAGAUCAUUCUGACGAUCAUCUCUCGGAUGAUGGACAGAGCAAUAUAGAGGAAGAAGAAGAAACCAAGGAGUCGGAUCGUGAAAAAGAAGAGGAGGAACAUGAUUUCAUGUCUCCCUCGACACCUCCAUCGAAACUUUACGAGAAAAAGUUCAGUGACGAAGAAAGGGACAUCCUGUCUAUUGACUACGACUCGGAUGAGGCGAGUUUCCUUGGUGAUGAAGACGACGUCAGGUCUGUUAUCAGCAAAAGAUCAGUUUCCAAGAGAAGGUCUUUGGUUGCAGUCGAGUCUGAAUUAGAGGCUGUUGAGAAAUCGUCUGUAGCCAUGCCGGCUAUGGACCAGGCCAAUGAAUCGUCGAUUGUCCAUUCCAAAAUACAGUGCAAUGUACCUUCUGCAUUGACUCCAGCGGUGGUUUCCAGAGCAGCCAGCAUCUUCUCAUCAUGGGGAGGAUACUGCCACCACUUCCUGCUUUGUGGCAACUGUAGACGUGGAAAUGCCUGCAGGUUCAAACACACCAUACCCCCUUUAGAGUGGUUCUUUCAGCAAGGCCAGGCCACAAUACUGAAUUCACGAAAGACACAGAACAAAGAAAGAGCAUUUGAAGCUUACCAGCUGCUGAAGACGCUGAACGUUAGGCCAAUCACGCGGGACGUUGUGGAAGUCCUGCUUCAAUUGGCGGUGCAUGUCUGGGACACGGAUGCUGCAUUCCAGCUGUUUGGAGACCUCAAAUCUACAGACCUCAUCAACAACAUGACUUCAUCGAUGUUGGUGCGUCUUUGUAACAGUUCCCCCCAGAAUUAUACCGACCAACUGUGGGCGCUCUUCCAAGUAGUCACGGAGAAAAGUCUGAAGCUUAAUGGUGCUUGUCUGGACACAGUUGUACAGGCAUUCAGUGUGAGGCGAGAAUACACGAAACUGUGGGAGGUGUUACUCUAUUGUAACAGUAUCCCGUACUAUGUGGUGCCCAUGCAGGUGCUACAUGUGCUUCUGUUCACGUGCAUAAAGUCCCCUGAAGAGUACCUGCCUGCCAUCACUAAGUGGGCGGAAACCUGUAACCAUGAUCUGCUUCAUCAACUGGAACAUAAAAUCCUGCUGGAGCUUUAUGAUAUCUCUGUGAAGUACAACAGCAGGGUUCUAAGUUCCCUGUUGGAGCAGCUUACCGCCACCCAGCUGCCAGAAACCCAGGGAGAGCUUCCAGAGACCACAGACAUACUAGGAGAGCAGGACUGGAAUGGGGACAACGUCGACGAGGGUCCAGUCACAAGUUCAGACGAAUACAAAGGACGUCAACACAGAAUACGGGGAUGCAAAUUAACAAAGAAUUGGGAACAUCUUGGAUCUAUCUUUGUGGAGCUGUGCUGCGACCUUGAACUAAGCAACCCCCACUAUAUCCAGGAGUACAUCUACGUUCUAACAGACACCGUGAAACCAGUGUCAAUGGCUCAGAACUUCAAGCUCUUUCUACAGGCCAUACAUAAAGAGCUAGAGACAAAGUUGACAGAUAAUAUGGAUGUUUUGGAUGAGCCGUCCCUGGCGCGUAUUGGUGCAGGCCUGCUAGGUUGGUGUUACCAGGAGGGACUAUGGGAGGAGGGCUAUCACCUGCUGUUUGUGAUGCAUCAGACAAGAGUCUACUACCACAAGUGUACAGGCCAUGGAGCCAUUGGCACAGCCCUUAUCGCCAUGGAGAUCUGUCUCAACACCCUCAGACCAGAGAGUGCUCUGCAGAUCCUACAACGUUCCAAAGGACUGAUUACAACCACAGAGAAUGGAGCAAAUGUCACGAGGAUUUUGGAGAUCUUGUUUGAUAAAUUGUUGGAAAAAUCGUUAACGAAGAUGGCUUUCUCUGUUCUUGUUAUAAUCAUAGAAAAACGAGAACAAGAUCAAACUCAGACAGACUUAUCUGGACAUUUCAACUGCCUCGUGCGGAAAUCGCUGGCUACAGGUGACAUACACACUGCUUUCGGAGUGUACAAAGUCCAAAAGGAGACUGACAGUGGCAAACUGGACAUGCUUGGCUUGCGCGGGCUUCUCACAGCUUGUGGUAAACACAGGUUCGAUAACAAAUAUAUCAAGGAGGUGUACGAGUCCUGUGUCAUGCGUAAGCUCUACCCCCCACAGAUCUUGGACACCCCCCGAUCGGUUGUGCUGUCGUGCAUGAUGACACCCGUAGAAAUGUAUUUGUAUAUCAGUGAUUACCUGAAUGCCCUGUACAACACUCUCUGUGAAUGUGUAAUGGACGGUACACAUCUGACAAUGGAAAACUUCUGUCUGACUGUACGGGUCUGGUGGGAAGAGAACCCGCUGCAGCAGAAAGACUUUCCAUACCUAUCUCUGGCUCCACAGACACAACAGGAGGUGUGGCCCAUGGCGCUGUACGUUCUAAACAAGAACAUCAACCCUCCUCUACAGGCCGAGUACAACCAGAACACUGGCUGUAUCCGUGUCAAUCCUGAAUCCUUGUACAGCUAUCUUCAGGAGAAAGACAGGAACGGGAGAAAGCAGGGCCUACAUAUACAGACUGCUCAGACAGGUGCUGGGGGGCCUGCCAAGAUGAGAGGUAGGGCAUGGGCACGUCCACAAAACUUUUCCAAUCGUGGGCGGGGCCGACCAUACAGGUGAUAAACCUCUAGCCCAGGAAGGGGGCUGUAGUUUAUUUGAUCAAUGCCUGAUGGCGUAAGGCAGCCCUAGGACAGGUGUUGCUUAAUAGACGGUACUUGUUGGACCACAAGUCUGUGAUGGUGUAUCCUUGUCUAAGGUAACAAGGCAAUCAUACUUAACUCUACAUUUCCCUGGGCUAGGCUGUGAGCUGUCACAUACUAACUAUCAAAGAUAGAGGACAGCUACUAUGUGUUACUGGGCCAGGAAUGAAGGAGUUGCACAGCAAGUUGAUACAUAAUGAUAGAGGAUAGCUACUAUGCGUUACUGGGCCAGGAAUGAAGGAGUUGCACAGCAAGGUGAUACACAAUGAUAGAGGAUAGUUACUAUGUGUUACUGGGCCAGGGAUGAAGGAGUUGCACAGCAAGUGGAUACAUAAUGAUAGAGGACAGCUCCUAUGUGUUACUGGGCCAGGAAUGAAGGAGUUGGACAGCAAGGUGAUACACUAUGAUAGAGGAAAGUUACUAUGUGUUACUGGGCCAGGAAUGAAGGAGUUGUACAGCAAGGUGAUACAUAAUGAUAGAGGAUAGCUACUAUGUGUUACUGGGCCAGGAAUGAAGGAGUUGUACAGCAAGUGGAUACAUAAUGAUAGAGGAUAGCUACUAUGUGUCACCUGGGCCAGGAAUGAAGGAGUUGUACAGCAAGUUGAUACAUAAUGAUAGAGGAUAGCUACUAUGUGUUACUGGGCCAGGAAUGAAGGAGUUGUACAGCAAGUGGAUACAUAAUGAUAGAGGAUAGCUACUAUGUGUCACCUGGGCCAGGAAUGAAGGAGUUGUACAGCAAGUUGAUACAUAAUGAUAGAGGAUAGCUACUAUGUGUUACUGGGCCAGGAAUGAAGGAGUUGUACAGCAAGUGGAUACAUAAUGAUAGAGGAUAGCUACUAUGUGUCACCUGGGCCAGGAAUGAAGGAGUUGUACAGCAAGUUGAUACAUAAUGAUAGAGGAUAGCUACUAUGUGUUACUGGGCCAGGAAUGAAGGAGUUGUACAGCAAGUGGAUACAUAAUGAUAGAGGAUAGCUACUAUGUGUCACCUGGGCCAGGAAUGAAGGAGUUGUACAGCAAGUUGAUACAUAAUGAUAGAGGAUAGCUACUAUGUGUUACUGGGCCAGGAAUGAAGGAGUUGUACAGCAAGUGGAUACAUAAUGAUAGAGGAUAGCUACUAUGUGUCACCUGGGCCAGGAAUGAAGGAGUUGUACAGCAAGUUGAUACAUAAUGAUAGAGGAUAGCUACUAUGUGUUACUGGGCCAGGAAUGAAGGAGUUGUACAGCAAGUGGAUACAUAAUGAUAGAGGAUAGCUACUAUGUGUCACCUGGGCCAGGAAUGAAGGAGUUGUACAGCAAGUUGAUACAUAAUGAUAGAGGAUAGCUACUAUGUGUUACUGGGCCAGGAAUGAAGGAGUUGUACAGCAAGUGGAUACAUAAUGAUAGAGGAUAGCUACUAUGUGUCACCUGGGCCAGGAAUGAAGGAGUUGUACAGCAAGGUGAUACAUAAUGAUAGAGGAUAGCUACUAUGUGUUACUGGGCCAGGAAUGAAGGAGUUGUACAGCAAGUGGAUACAUAAUGAUAGAGGAUAGCUACUAUGUGUCACCUGGGCCAGGAAUGAAGGAGUUGCACAGCAAGGUGAUACAUAAUGAUAGAGGAUAGCUACUAUGUGUUACUGGGCCAGGAAUGAAGGAGUUGUACAGCAAGUGGAUACAUAAUGAUAGAGGAUAGCUACUAUGUGUCACCUGGGCCAGGAAUGAAGGAGUUGUACAGCAAGGUGAUACAUAAUGAUAGAGGAUAGCUACUAUGUGUUACUGGGCCAGGAAUGAAGGAGUUGUACAGCAAGUGGAUACAUAAUGAUAGAGGAUAGCUACUAUGUGUCACCUGGGCCAGGAAUGAAGGAGUUGCACAGCAAGUUGAUACAUAAUGAUAGAGGAUAGCUACUAUGUGUUACUGGGCCAGGAAUGAAGGAGUUGCACAGCAAGUGGAUACAACUUAAACUGAGGAUUGGGAUGGCCAGCCAAACUUGUGUUCACAAUCAAUAAUGAAGGAAGGCAGUCAUGUCUGCCAUACGUAUCAAAUUCUUCACUCUGUACUCCAUUAUUAGCCGUCGGAUUCAUGGAGAUUUUUCUGAGCCACAACAGGUGUAUAAGAGCUAUAGGUACCAGAUUGUCAACACUGUUCCAGGAUGUCGGUCCACUGGGAGUGGUGGGGUCACACUGUUCCAAGAUGUCGGUCCACUGGGAGUGGUGGGGUCACAUGAUCUUCUGUUGUGGCUUUUUGUGAUCGACUCGAUUGCAACAGACAUAUGGUUAUUUAACCAUGAGCAAAUCAGAUUCAUUUAACAUACAAAUAAUGCAUUCUAGUCUGUAUAUGUAAAUUUUCAAUUUAAGAUUUCAUAGCAAUACCUUGCCUAUAUAUAGAGAACGUAUCAUUGAAAGCACAAUCCUUAGGACCACUUGCCAUGGUUUGGUGUUUUUUUUCCCUAUUUUUCCCAAAGUUGGCCAAUUGUUGAAUUAAUUUUAAUCCAGGUGUGAAUGUGAUAUGUGUGUGAUGUGGUUAAGAAGAAAGCAGUCUUCAGCUGGACAAAUGCCUGAAAGUGUCGUUAGUAAAAUGGAUUAUUGAUGAAAUUAAGAGAAGUGAUUUCAUAUCGAAUUGCUUGAUGUGGGAGUUUCCAAAUACAUACCUGUAUGAGAAGCUUUGGUUUUUGAGAACACAUGUACUGAUUGGUAAACAUUGAAGACCCAUGUCUGCGGAGCUUCUCUUUCCCGUAAUGUCAACAUAAUUAUAACAUAUGGGUUGUGUUGCAUCGUAUCACCUCUACAUCUUUUAUUUCUUGGAGUUAUGUAACAAAACUGAAAAUAAUACUGAAACAAGCACUUAUUAGAACAUUAAAAAAUUACAUCAAUUUCAUCCUUCGUGUUCAGAACUGUUUACAAGUUGGCAGACACUUAAAAGUGACCGCUAAACAUAUUUUUUCAUCAUGAUUGAAUUUUCAUGUGUGUAUUACGUUGUAUAUCUAUGUUUUCCUUUACGUGUGUCAUGUGUAGUUCUGUAUUAUGUCAUAUACCUGUGGUAUGUUAUCACUUACGUGUGUCAUGUGUAGUUUUGUAUUAUGUCAUAUACCUGUGGUAUGUUAUCACUUACGUGUGUCAUAUGUAGUUCUGUAUUAUGUCAUAUACCUGUGGUAUGUUAUCACUUACGUAUGUCAUAUGUAGUUCUGUAUUAUGUCAUAUAUCUGUGGUAUGUUAUCAUUUACGUGUGUCAUGUGCAGUUCUGUAUUAUGUCAUAUACCUGUGGUAUGUUAUCAUUUACGUAAGUCAUGUGUAGUCCUGUAUUAUGUCAUAUACCUGUGGUAUGUUAUCAUUUACAUAAGUCAUGUGAAGUUCUGUAUUAUGUCAUAUACCUGUGGUAU